rnacentral:lncRNA from 1 species
GAAGACCUUUAUGAUAAUCUGCUUCCACUUAAUGAAUAGUUUAAGGUUGCUCUGAUGAAUUAAAGGCAAUGUAACUAUGAAACAAGAAUCAUAUUUUUCUUCUUCCGAAUCUUGCUCUCCCACUAGAAUAGAAGUUCUACAAGGACAAGAAUUUUAUUCACUACUGCAGGAUCUACAACAAUGCCUGGGACAUAGUAAGUACUCAAUGAAUAUUCAUUGACUUACUAAAUGAAUAUAUCA